rnacentral:rRNA from 1 species
GACGAACGCUGGCGGCGUGCUUAACACAUGCAAGUCGAACGGAAAGGCCCUUCGGGGUACUCGAGUGGCGAACGGGUGAGUAACACGUGGGUGAUCUGCCCUGCACUUUGGGAUAAGCCUGGGAAACUGGGUCUAAUACCGAAUAUGAUCAUCGGCUUCAUGGUCGGUGGUGGAAAGCUUUUGCGGUGUGGGAUGGGCCCGCGGCCUAUCAGCUUGUUGGUGGGGUAAUGGCCUACCAAGGCGACGACGGGUAGCCGGCCUGAGAGGGUGACCGGCCACACUGGGGCUGAGAUACGGCCCAGACUCCUACGGGAGGCAGCAGUGGGGAAUAUUGCACAAUGGGCGCAAGCCUGAUGCAGCGACGCCGCGUGAGGGAUGACGGCCUUCGGGUUGUAAACCUCUUUCAGCACAGACGAAGCGCAAGUGACGGUAUGUGCAGAAGAAGGACCGGCCAACUACGUGCCAGCAGCCGCAGUAA